CCCAGACUCCUACGGGAGGCAGCAGUGGGGCCUCUUGCACAAUGGGGGCCACACUGAUGCAGCGCCGCCGCGUGAGCGAAGAAGUAUUUCGGUAUGUAAAGCUCUCUCAGCAGGGAAGAAAAAAAUGACGGUACCUGAGUAAGAAGCACCGGCUAAAUACGAGCCAGCAGCCGCGGUAAUACGUAGGGAGCAAGCGUUGUCCGGAAUUACUGGGCGUAAAGGGCGCGUAGGUGGGCGCUUAAGUCAGGUGUUAAAACUCCGGGCUCAACCUGGAUACUGCACUUGAAACUGGGUGUCUUGAGGGCAGGAGAGGAAAGUGGAAUUCCUAGUGUAGCGGUGAAAUGCGUAGAUAUUAGGCGGAACACCAGUGGCGAAGGCGACUUUCUGGACUGUACCUGACGCUGAGGCGCGAAAGCGUGUGUAGCGAACGGGAUUAGAUCCCCGCGUA
rnacentral:rRNA from 1 species